rnacentral:rRNA from 1 species
GAUAAACGCUAGCGACAGGCUUAACACAUGCAAGUCGAGGGGCAGCGGGGUGUGGCAACACACUGCCGGCGACCGGCGCACGGGUGAGUAACGCGUAUGCAACUUGCCUAUCAGAGGGGGAUAACCCGGCGAAAGUCGGACUAAUACCGCAUAAAACAGGGGUUCCGCAUGGGGAUAUUUGUUAAAGAUUCAUCGCUGAUAGAUAGGCAUGCGUUCCAUUAGGCAGUUGGCGGGGUAACGGCCCACCAAACCGACGAUGGAUAGGGGUUCUGAGAGGAAGGUGCCCCACAUUGGUACUGAGACACGGACCAAACUCCUACGGGAGGCAGCAGUGAGGAAUAUUGGUCAAUGGCCGGGAGGCUGAACCAGCCAAGUCGCGUGAAGGAUGAAGGUUCUAUGGAUUGUAAACUUCUUUUGUGCGGGAAUAAGGUCGGGGAUGCGUCCCCGUUUGCAUGUACCGUACGAAUAAGCAUCGGCUAACUCCGUGCCAGCAGCCGCCGUAA